rnacentral:rRNA from 1 species
GACGAACGCUGGCGGCGUGCCUAAUACAUGCAAGUCGAGCGGAUCUUGAAAAGCUUGCUUUUCCUGAUCAGCGGCGGACGGGUGAGUAACACGUGGGCAACCUGCCUGUAAGACUGGGAUAACUUCGGGAAACCGGAGCUAAUACCGGAUAAUCCUUUCCGACUCAUGUUGGGAAGCUGAAAGACGGUUUCGGCUGUCACUUACAGAUGGGCCCGCGGCGCAUUAGCUAGUUGGUGGGGUAACGGCCCACCAAGGCGACGAUGCGUAGCCGACCUGAGAGGGUGAUCGGCCACACUGGGACUGAGACAGGGCCCAGACUCCUACGGGAGGCAGCAGUAGGGAAUCUUCCGCAAUGGACGAAAGUCUGACGGAGCAACGCCGCGUGAGCGAAGAAGGCCUUCGGGUCGUAAAGCUCUGUUGUCAGGGAAGAACAAGUACCGGAGUAACUGCCGGUACCUUGACGGUACCUGACCAGAAAGCCACGGCUAACUACGUGCCAGCAGCCGCGGUAAGAC